rnacentral:rRNA from 1 species
UACGAAGGGGGCUAGCGUUGUUCGGAAUCACUGGGCGUAAAGCGCACGCAGGCGGAUUGAUAAGUCAGGGGUGAAAUCCCGGGGCUCAACCUCGGAAUUGCCUUUGAUACUGUCUGUCUUGAGUUCGGGAGAGGUUGGCGGAAUUCCUAGUGUAGAGGUGAAAUUCGUAGAUAUUAGGAAGAACACCGGUGGCGAAGGCGGCCAACUGGACCAUUACUGACGC